rnacentral:rRNA from 1 species
GAUCAUGGCUCAGAUUGAACGCUGGCGGCAGGCUUAACACAUGCAAGUCGGAGCGGAGAUGAGGUGCUUGCACCUUAUCUUAGCGGCGGACGGGUGAGUAAUGCUUAGGAAUCUGCCUAUUAGUGGGGGACAACAUUCCGAAAGGAAUGCUAAUACCGCAUACGUCCUACGGGAGAAAGCAGGGGAUCUUCGGACCCUGCGCUAAUAGAUGAAGCCUAAGUCGGAUUAG